UACGGAGGAUGCAAGCGUUAUCCGGAUUCAUUGGGUUUAAAGGGUGCGUAGGCGGGCUAAUAAGUCAGUGGUGAAAUCUUCCGGCUCAACCGGGAAACUGCCAUUGAUACUGUUAGUCUUGAGUUCGGCUGAGGUAGGCGGAAUGUGUAAUGUAGCGGUGAAAUGCUUAGAUAUUACACAGAACACCAAUUGCGUAGGCAGCUUACUAGACCGACACUGACGCUGAGGCACGAAAGCGUGGGGAGCGAACAGG
rnacentral:rRNA from 1 species